rnacentral:rRNA from 1 species
GGCGGCCCGAGUGGUAACCGUUUUUAUUGGGUUUAAAGGGUCCGUAGCCGGCUUAUUAAGUCUCUUGGGAAAUCUGGCGGCUCAAUCGUCAGGCGGCCAAGAGAUACUGGUAGGCUUGGGACCGGGAGAGGUGGGAGGUACUCCAGGGGUAGGGGUGAAAUCUCGUAAUCCUUGGGGGACCACCGAUGGCGAAGGCAUCCCACCAGAACGGGUCCGACGGUGAGGGACGAAAGCUGGGGGCACGAACC